UCUCUCUCUCUAUGAUCUAUCUUACCCCUACGAUCUAUCUUCUCUCUACGAUUUCUAUCUGUCUCUGUAUUGCAUACGGUUUAGGCCGUGAUGCCGGCUAAAUUUGCUAAGAUGCUUGUAUACUCAACUCAUUCUUGUGUAGAUCAUACUUUAUAUUUUGUAACAGAGCCAGAGGGAGAUAGAAGAUUCAGAAUUUAGGGUAGUCCUAAAUUUCUUUCAGAUAUCGAACCCUACUUUUCUAAAGCACCGGCGAGUGUAAUGCUUCGUUGGUUCUAAUCCCCCUAAAUCUCUAGAUGAACGUCGAUCUGCAGAUUAGAGCUAUGGAUGUGAUGGAUCUCACAUCAUUUGCAAUCGGAGGAAAGUAAGGAUGAACUUGGUGAUACACUUGUAAUUGCCUCUUAAUUCUGAUCUGGAUAUAGUGUAUAUGUUAUUUUAAUUAGGUUAGAGUCACUUGGAACUGCAACUCUUUGUAAAAAGUCUCUUGUCUUAGCUUUUAGUUGUAAAGGUUCAUCUGAAUUAUUACACAGUAGCAUAAAGUUGUAAUCUGGUAUUUUAAGACUUAUUGGUGAAGUUAAGAGUAUUUUGGUGUACAUAUAUAUAGUUGGUUUGAUCA